rnacentral:lncRNA from 1 species
UCUUGGUUAAUAUUUUGAGCAUACACAUAAUUGUAAGAUUUAUUAUCCGUUUAUCACAUGAUAAAGAAUGACUUUCUCUGUAAAAAUGGUCUUUAAAGUUCUAAACAAAAGUGACAUACUCUGUGAUAUAUUAUGUAAAGAUAUAUUUUUUAUAUAAAUUUUCACAUAUAUUGCCAUUUUUUUUUCAAUAGUAUUCUCCUAAACAUGCUGCUCUAUUGUUUCAAAAGUCUCCAACCAGAAUCUGUCAUACAAAUGGAACUCAUGUCAAUCAGAAUUCUGUUAAUUGUUUACAGGCUAGUUCUUAUCCAGGAAGCAAUUCCAGAUUUUACCAAAGAUUUUAGUAGAUAGCCUGGAUAGGGUCCUUAACUUCUUUAAUCUAUAAAUGUUUUUGGCAUAUUUCUGCACCUUCAACCAGAGAAACAUGACAAUAAAGUCUUAGAUUGAGGGAACAUGCAUCAAUUUCGAAAUACAUAUCAUGCAGUUGACCUCUAAAGAAUAGAGAGCCAUUGUAGCUGAAAAAAAAUAUUUUUGGUAGAGCCGUAGUAUUACAGCCCCCACAUGGUAAAGGUUUACAAUUAAUUCUUAUUUAUUUGAACACUUUGAUCUUUAUGUAAAAUAAUCUUCAGAAUAUGUCUCACAGCUUAAACAGACAAACAUCUAUGAAUAAACAGACUUGUGAAAUAUGUCCAUUUGCAUGACAGACCUAUGAAAAAUUCUAACGUUCAAUUUCUUACAACAUAAUCAGACCAAAGUUGGAAUGUCAAAUGUAAAAUUUGCAUACAAAGUAUCAAAACAUAACUUAUCUAAUAUUCAUUAUAACAGCAUUG